GAUGAAGAACGUAGCGAAAUGCGAUACUUGGUGUGAAUUGCAGAAUCCCGUGAACCAUCGAGUCUUUGAACGCAAGUUGCGCCCGAAGCCAUUAGGCCGAGGGCACGCCUGCCUGGGUGUCACACACCGUUACCCUCGCGCCAACGUCCAUCGUUGGCCGCGGCGCGGGGCGUGCGCUGACCUCCCGCGAGCGGGGUCUCGUGGUUGGUUGAAAAUCGAGUUCGCGGUCGAGGGUGCCGUGAUGAAAUGGUGGAUGGGCGACGCCCGAGGCCAAUCACGCGCGACUCUGUCCGGCUCGGACUCCUGGACCCCUUCGGCGUCUCCGGACGCUCUUUGGCGAGACCUCAGGUCAGGCGGGGCUACCCGCUGAGUUUAAGCAUAUCAGCGGAGGA
rnacentral:misc_RNA from 1 species